rnacentral:rRNA from 1 species
AUACGUAGGGGGCGAGCGUUGUCCGGAAUGAUUGGGCGUAAAGGGCGCGUAGGCGGCCCGGUAAGUCUGGAGUGAAAGUCCUGUUUUUAAGAUGGGAAUUGCUUUAGAUACUGUCGGGCUUGAGUGCAGGAGAGGUAAGUGGAAUUCCCAGUGUAGCGGUGAAAUGCGUAGAGAUUGGGAGGAACACCAGUGGCGAAGGCGACUUACUGGACUGUAACUGAAGCUGAGGCGCGAAAGUGUGGGGAGCAAACAGGAUUAGAUACCCUGGUAGUCCACACUGUAAACGAUGAAUGCUAGGUGUAGGGGGUAUCGACCCCUUCUGUGCCGCAGUUAACACAAUAAGUAUUCCACCUGGGGAGUACGGCCGCAAGGUUGAAACUCAAAUGAAUUGACGGGG